rnacentral:rRNA from 1 species
UACGUAGGGAGCAAGCGUUGUCCGGAUUCAUUGGGCGUAAAGAGCUCGUAGGCGGCUUGAUAAGUCGGAUGUGAAACCUCCAGGCUCAACCUGGAGUCGCCAUCCGAUACUGUCAUGGCUAGAGUCCGGUAGGGGCCCACGGAAUUCCUGGUGUAGCGGUGAAAUGCGCAGAUAUCAGGAGGAACACCGGUGGCGAAGGCGGUGGGCUGGGCCGGCACUGACGCUGAGGAGCGAAAGCGUGGGGAGCGAACAGG